GCAUCUCUAGCACGCGGGCGCGACACUCGCUUGAGGUCCUUUCGCAUUUGAAAAGCAUUAAAAAUCAUAACCCGCAAGCCCAGAGGCUGGAACAACCCCUUUACUUUCUCUGGCAACGCGUUAACGUCAUUAACUUUCAGCAAGCGGGGAAAGCGGGUUCUUACUUAACUCGCAUCUUCUGAAACGUCGUAAAGAUCAGCAGCGGUGAGGCCUUGUCUCUCUUUGGCAGGCGUGAAAUCACAAAGCACCGCAGCCCCGCCCAGCGACGAGGCCCUGCUGUCGCGCGGAGCCCGGCGGGGUGGCCUCUGCUCCGAGGCCUGUGGCGCCUGCGCACUGGCGAUCGGAUGCAACCCACCCAGACCCUCCGGCAGGAGUGUUGGCGGCCCCUUCACCGACCGAAUCUACCCGCGUGUGUUCCGCCGCCCGCUGGGGGCGCCUCGGCGCCAGUCGGCUCCCUGUGCGCCGCCCUGUACCCAUCUUUGCGUCACACUUCGGGGCACGCGUGCCACGGAUCCGCCACUAGAUUAUAUGCCCUGGAUUAUUCUUCCCGGUUCUGCGUCGCGGGGCAGGUACCCGGUCAGUCGGUUGCCACGUGUUUACGGAGUACCCGGGUUCCAGGCAUUGUGCUGGGCGCCGGCAGCAUGGGUGAGGUCCCGACACUCUAGUAGGAGAGAGAGACAAUGAAAGGAAUCAUAGAUCUAACGUGGAGUCUGAUACGCAGUGCUCAAAAGUGUGCAGUGAACCAACGAAUGGGGGAGAAAAAAAAGAGUGCAUAGGCCAGACUGAGAAGACACACUUCUGGGAGCAUACGUGAGUCUCUGGGACUUUGUGACAACGCGUGAUGUGUCGCUUCUUAAUCGCGCGGAUUUGAGGACCGUAUUGGGUAUCCUGUAACACCUUCUUACGGUGUGUUUUUUACGUGUCUGUGCUUUUAAGGAAAGAACACCUGUGUCGGUAUGAUCCUGGCUAAGUCUAAUUACUAGUUUUGUUAAAGAGGAUAAAUAACCCUUGGUUUUUUUUAGA